CUAUUUAUAAACUUGACAUGCCCGUGAAUGAUGUUACUACAAUUAUUAUAGGCACAUAUGUUUGAGCUUCCUGCACCAAUAACCAACAAGUGAGGCUAGAUGGGAGCUGCUUGGCUUGGCGUCGGGUUGCAGGCAAUCCUAGUGAUGUUUCUGUUAAUGUCGCCACCAUUUCUGCCCUGUGCGCUCGCCGCUGGCUGCAGUAGCGAAGGCAAGUCCGGCGACCAAGUGGUCGGCAUAGUCAGGGAGAUGCAAGAAGGCCAUGAUUUUUUUGCUUCAAGCAAAUCAACAUGGUCUCGUCGAAUUCUUAAUGCGGGUGAAGAUGGGAGACACAAUCCUCCCUUCUCCCCGGGACACAAGUAGCACAAAUGGAGAUAAAUGCCGGGGCUCAAUUGAGAACCCCACCAUAUUUGUAGAAUUUCAUGCGUGGUGGUGAUGGAGUCGUGGAUAACUAUUAUCAGGAUUAAAAAUCUUGAUAUCCAUAAAUAUAAUGGUUCACAAUAUUAAUACAACAAAUAUAAAAUUAACUAAUCCAAAAUAAAAAUAUUAGGUGAACGGUAGUUCAAAAUGAGAUUUUAGUAAUAAAAUCCAAUCCAAAAUGCAAUUUGCUCAUAACAGAGUGAUGUGUAUUGGUCAGUUCAUGUAUUUGUUCUGUUGUUAUGUGUACUUCCCUCAGAAUUUCAAAUGUCAAUAAUGAAACCAGCUGCUUUGCCUAGUAGUAUUGGUUCCAUCCUUUGCACCACCUAUAAGUCCUGCCAAAUUUUCUUCCUAAUUUUUCUCGCUGAAGGUUAAUUUUUUGUGCUAAAGUUUUCAAGGUUUGUCAAUCUUCAUUCUGAUGUUAUGUUGACUAAAUUUAUUAAUGAGAAUCCUAGAUAUCUAUGCAAGAAUUAAUCAUGUGCAUUGGUCACUUCUCUUGAAAUUCAAAUGAAGAAACGGUCUUGCUGUGACGCUGACUAUAAGAAGGCAUAUGAAAGUGAAACGAAACUUGUAAAUUUCUCAGUCUGAAAGCUGAGUAUAUCUGUGCAAUCCAUGAGAAAGAUGAAUUUGCUGAACAUGUGUCCUUUUCUCUUUUUGUAAAGGGCAGAUACCUCCUCCUAUUAUAAAGAAAGCAAACGCAAGAUUUCGUAAAAUUUCAAGAUUAAUGUCAAUUUUUCAGCUGAAACUGUCUUUUGCUGUUGAUCAUUUCAAAGACACUGACUAGCAGCCAUGAUUGACGUAGGUGAUGAUUAGGAAACAAUAUUCUGCUAUUUGUGCCGCAAGGUUGUUAUUGACUUACAGUCGAGCAAUGGUCAGUGGAGUCUUGUUGCGACUUUGAAGGCAUGAUUGUAACUUUUUGAAAUGACAUAUAGUAUGCCAGUUUAACAUAAACCGGUAACUGGCUGUGUUUAGUUCACAUCAAAAUUGAAAGUUUGGUUGAAAUUAGAACAAUGUGAUGGAAAAGUUGAAAGUUUAUGUGUGUAGGAAAGUUUUGAUGUGAUGGAAAAGUUGAAAGUUUGAAGAAUUUAUUUUGGAACUAAACCUGAGUGUACAUCCGUAGCUUGAUUACACGGACAGGCAGUUGUGUGUACAUCCUGACUUGUUCUCAGAAAAAAAAAAUGGAGAGAGGCCAGUAGGCCCUGCCUCAGUUGGAAACUUAUAAUCUACGUGUGAUUUUACUGUACUUAAAAAUAUCGGGAUAUCAUAUUUUAUUAAUGUAAAAUUUAGUACAUCUAACACGAGUACUAGAAAAUACUAAAAUUUUCACUGAAAAAAUUGAUACCUCUCGAUGUCUUGUCUGUGAAGGUCAAUGAAAAGAUCGAUAGGCUCUGCAUAAUAUUUUUCUUCUUGUUCUAUUCUGUUUGGCACGUACGUACACAUCCCAAUUCCACCAAACUCUCUGUGGAUUUAUAAAUACCCUGCAAAUUAAGAGCAAGUAAUUUGGACAUCCGAGACACACAGAUUGGGAGCCAAAACAUCUCAAAGAAUAUUUCCAAAGCGAUCGACCAUGGGAGGAGCUUCUCGGAUUCGCGUCGAGUUGCAAGCAAUCCUAGUGAUGUUCCUCUUGCUUCCGUUGCCGUUUCUGCCCAGGGUGUUCGCCGCCGGCAGCUCAGGCGGCAACUCCGGCGAGCUAGUGGCCGGCGGCCGGGAGACUCGUAGGAAGCCACCGGCAAUAAGGUCUCCUCGGUUUCUGUCUGGUGGAGUUCCUGCGAACCCUGGAGGUGGGCACGAUCCUCCUGUUAGCAAUGGAAGGAGAGGCCGUUGAUGAGAGAAUCAGAUCCAAAGUUCCAAACCCCAUAUUGUCGAAAACCAGAAUACUUUUAUCUUUUGACACAACUGUAAUAAUACUUGAAUAUAGUGAAACUCUUCACUGAGGAGCAUACUCCUAUCAUUUUCUUUCGCAUGCACGACUUAAUCUGAUUUGGAAUUACGUUUUAGGAGGACCAGAUGGGGGACACUACCCUCCUUGUUGCUAGGAAUUUGAGCAGAGCUAGGAACAAAGUCUCUCUAUCGGCCAAGGAAGUAGGUGUGGGUUGGUAGAGUCUUAGGACAUAAACUCUAUCCAUUAAGGUUUAUUUUUAAAAAAGAAUAAUGGGAUAUAAAUCCCAGCCUUUGCAUCAGAUUUAAAUCUCAGGAACCACAAUUGUGUGCAUAUGGAUACUUAAAUGACUUUAUUGGGGUUUAUAAAUUUAUGGUUAUAUAAGGUUUAUAGAUUUAUAGUAGGACGUCUACUUCAAAAGUAUGUGUCAAAUAUCAUGUACUCUCACAUGUGUAUAAGCGUGAUGUGCAUGCGCAUAUAUUUUUCACUCGAUGAAAAUAAAGGAGACCAACCCCCACUCCCCAAGAAAAAAAAAGUUCACUUCUGUAUAAAGAACAUUGUAUUGUGUAUAUCAUGAUAUGUUUAGUUGCCAUACUUAAGUUUUCUUCGUAUUUAUUCUGCGAAACAUGCUGGUUGUCAGUCAACCACUAGAUAAAAAGCGAAAAUCCUUUGACUCGGGCGCCCGAUGAGAGGGGAAAAUAUCGGGUGCCCUUCCGCUUCCGCAUCGCCUCGCCUCCCCUCCCCUACCUCUCUCGCCCGUGCCGCCUCCUCUUCCACGUGCUCCCUCGCCUGCGCCACCUCCUCUGCCGGAUUCGUGCGUGCCUUAAAAUAUCAUAAAACCUCCAUUGAAAAAAAUCAAUUCUAAAACUUUUAGUUGUUUGUUCCUAGCGACUUAAAAUCCAAUUCUAAAAAUAUAUAAACCUACAUUGAAAAUAUCAUAAAACCAACUCAAAAAUUCAAUUUUACAAUCUAAAUUUUGGCAAUAGCUGAUUCUAUAUUAGUGCAAACGAUCGAUGAGGCUGAUAGCAGUCGUAGUAGUAAAUGCUUGACUUGGUUUUCUGUUUUCCUUCAUUUUGCACCUUACUUCGAUAUGGCGUCUUCCUGCGUUAUGGAGAACAAUAGUACUACCCCUAAUCCCAAAAUAAAUGUAAUUCUAUGAGUCCACGGCGUGAAAUUAAUAUGAUAUCGACGCUUGUUGAAAGUUGAAACCUUCCAAAUUAAGCAAUUAGUACGUAGUGUCCACCUUCUUUGUCGCGUUAAAUUUCUACUCCGAAUGGAUCUUAUGUUCUCUGGUUCUUGCGUACAUACACACCAGGUAUCCGUAGUCAAAUGCCUGAAUUUCCAAUCAACCAACUAAUUUCAACAGCUCUAUUAAUUUAUCAUAUUGACUCAACAACUUUUCUUUGGUAAUUUAAAUAGUCUGAAAGGAGCAAUGCUAUUUGGACAAGCGGUAGCCAAACACCUGUAAACUUGUUUUUGUACAAAUCACCCCCAGUUUGUCUUUCUGAAGAAGCGUUAAUUUUGAGGCCAUCGAGUUAAUUAUUGUGAGCCACCAUGGGAGCUGCUCGGCUUUGCGUUGGGUUGCAGGCAAUCCUAGUGAUGUCCCUCUUGCUGCCGCCGCCGUUUCUGCCAUGCGUGCUCGCCGGCGCUGGCCCUGGAGGCGAGCUCGUCGCCGGCGAGGAGAAGCAUCAAGGCCGUGUAUUUGCUUCAGGCAUAUCAACACGGUCUCUUCGAAUUCUAUCUCAAAAUCCAGGUCCCGGCGGUGAACACCAUCCUCCUAUCUCUUCCGGACGCGGCAACAAUGGAUAAAGGCUAGACAAUGGAUCUAUGAGAGUACCCAAGAACCGAUUAGAACUAAGCAGGCCGAUCCAGGUGUUAGAACUACGUUUAGGAAUAAGAGUAAAAAUACGAAUUAUCAAGAUAAAAUAAAGCUCUCCAGAUAUAAUUCUGGAGGUUAGGUUUACUAACUUGUAAUACAAGUUUCCAUACUCUAUUGGCGUGUUCGGCUGUCUUUAUUUGCACCGUGCCACCGUGUUGCAGUACAGUACUUUUAUGUGUGCAAAGCACAACCGAACAUGUCCUAUAUAUAUAUUUAGAAAUGGAUGGGGUAUAUCCUAUGAGAUAGUUAUUAUACUUUUUUUAGAUAAUGGAAUAGAAUAUCCCAGCCUUUGCUCAA